rnacentral:lncRNA from 10 species
AUGUACCAGUAUUGGUGUUUAUGUUUAUCAUAAACUUCCUGUAGGCUACUUUGUCAAUGUUUACAAAAAUGUAAAUAUUGUUGGGUCUAGCAAUUUUACCUAGGGAAACUUGUUUGUAUUGGCAGACACCCUUGUGGCUCUGUGUGAGCUGUGUCCAGUUUAUGAUUACCUCAAUCCACCACCACAAUAGGAAACAAGCUAAAAGAUUUUUACUUACAGAUCUUGGGCAAGGAGGGUGUGAUGAUGUGGGUGGGCAGUCCUCUAUCCUAAAGUCAGGCAAGGCAGGAAUGAAGAGUUGGGCAGAGAGAGGGUGUGUGUGGCAACUAGCAGUAUAUAUAAGGGAAUAGGCUGUGGGCCCUCCAAGUUCGGGGGCAAAUGCCGGAAUCAAUGGUCCCCUUAAAGGAAGUGGCAGGAAAGGGGGACCCAGUCUAAUAGGCAGGAGAGAUGCCUCUAAGUUCUCAUCUCUGGCCACCAGCUUGAGCCAUGUAGGUGUGGUGUCAGACUGGAAACUGCCAGGGGUCACUGAGCCCUGCUUCUGCAGGAGAAAGUUAAACUUGCAUUCAGAAUGGAUGCUGAGGCAACACAAAAUUAUAAGAAUGCAUUAUAGGUCUGACCGAACCAGGUGAGCAUUCUGAAAGAAACUCUAGGGGUCAGAAAGCUGAAGAAAUCAGCUAGCCUCGAAGAAAUGAGCUGACCUGAGUUAUACAGCUGCGAUGUAA